AGUGAACGCUGGCGGUAGGCCUAACACAUGCAAGUCGAACGGCAGCACAGUAAGAGCUUGCUCUUACGGGUGGCGAGUGGCGGACGGGUGAGGAAUACAUCGGAAUCUACUUUUUCGUGGGGGACAACGUAGGGAAACUUACGCUAAUACCGCAUACGACCUACGGGUGAAAGCAGGGGAUCUUCGGACCUUGCGCGAUUGAAUGAGCCGAUGUCGGAUUAGCUAGUUGGCGGGGUAAAGGCCCACCAAGGCGACGAUCCGUAGCUGGUCUGAGAGGAUGAUCAGCCACACUGGAACUGAGACACGGUCCAGACUCCUACGGGAGGCAGCAGUGGGGAAUAUUGGACAAUGGGCGCAAGCCUGAUCCAGCCAUACCGCGUGGGUGAAGAAGGCCUUCGGGUUGUAAAGCCCUUUUGUUGGGAAAGAAAAGCAGCAGGUUAAUACCCCGCUGUUCUGACGGUACCCAAAGAAUAAGCACCGGCUAACUUCGCG
rnacentral:rRNA from 1 species